rnacentral:lncRNA from 1 species
CCGGCAUCGCCUCACGCCCCUAGACCUCUGACACUGCAUGGGCAUCUGUGCCCAGCACACAAGUUACAGUGACACACAAGUUAGAGUGAAAUUUUAUUGUGACCUUGAUACAGUUUUUGUGUUCUAGUGAGGCUGAGAAGUAAUGCACCCUAAACAAAAUAAAUAUGCUUAGGGUACCUUAUUUUACCCUACCAAAAUCCAUAUAGCUAUUUUACUGGGGAGAGAUUUCAUAAUUUCCUAUACAUGUUUUUCACAAUGAGCAAACAAUUUUGUUGCUUUCUUUCACUGUUUUCAUGGUAAGGAAAUAUAAAUGUCUUGGUAUGUCAGUUUCUCAUGCAGCCGAAAUCCAUACAUUUUUGUCACUAGUGGUGGCUAUCUGAACAGAUUUCCAGAAAUUAUUUGCUGACAGAGUUCUGACAGGUGAAAAAGUGAAGCUCUGUCAAUCAAAUAUGACAUUUCAUGCAAUUACUUUUUUAAAUGAUAUCUCUCCAUAAAAAGCAUUUCCCAAUUUCUAUUUAUGCUAUGACUCCACUGUUUGUGAAAGGCAUUCUCUGAUCUUGGCUAAUUUUUGCUAGGGUGAUUGGCAAAGAGGCCAGGAUGUGCCUCCAGUGUUUGCUGGGUCGCUGACCUCCAUGUGACUGAUAAGCAUUGGCAAGUUAGCAUGCUACCAGCAGACAGUUAGCUUGGCAGAAAUGUGAACAGGAAGUGGGUAAAUAAUGAAGCAUGUUUUGAUCUUUCUAGACUCCCUUCACCUUGGAAGACAAGCACUGACUUGGUAGCAGUGUUUUGGCUUUUAAGGGUGUAUUCUUCUCCUCUGCCCCAACCCAGUCCUCAGGGUGAGUAGUGUUUCUCAGACUGGCUCAUGGAGUCUGCCAAAUGCACUGCAAGUUUCUACAAUUUUCUGAGCUUCUCAGCCUGGACAAUGCUUCCUCUAAUGUACCAUUCUGAUGAUUCAUCAUGACCUUCUUUCCAGGAGGAAAUAUAAAAGCACUCUUUGGAAAAUAGAACAACGUCAGAGAAUGUGACCAGAAGAGAUGUGUUAGAGCAAAACUAAUCAAACUGCAAUCCUCAUAAGACAAAGCAGGAUAUAUAUAUAUAUUUUUUUAAUUGGACUACUUUUGUAUGUGAUAUUCAGCCAAAAAAUAGGUCCUUCUGAGGAAAAAUAAGACAAAAACAUGAUUUAUUUUAAAUAACAAGUUAUUUCUAUUUCUCUGCCAACACUAACUUUUUUCAAGGAAGGAAAUUGUUUGUACAGAGAAUCCUAAACCAGUUGCACUGUAAAACUCAGAGAAAAGUCUAAAAAGUACCUUUUUAUUCCA